rnacentral:rRNA from 1 species
AGAGUUUGAUCCUGGCUCAGGAUGAACGCUGGCGGCGCGCCUAACACAUGCAAGUCGAACGGAGAAGAGGGAGCUUGCUUCCUUUUCUUAGUGGCGGACGGGUGAGUAACGCGUGAGGAACCUGCCUUUCAGAGGGGGAUAACAGUUGGAAACGGCUGCUAAUACCGCAUAAUGUAUUUUGAUGGCAUCAUCGAGAUACCAAAGAUUUAUCGCUGAAAGAUGGCCUCGCGUCCGAUUAGAUAGUUGGUGAGGUAACGGCCCACCAAGUCUGCGAUCGGUAGCCGGACUGAGAGGUUGAUCGGCCACAUUGGGACUGAGACACGGCCCAGACUCCUACGGGAGGCAGCAGUGGGGGAUAUUGCACAAUGGGCGAAAGCCUGAUGCAGCGACGCCGCGUGAGGGAAGAAGGUCUUCGGAUUGUAAACCUCUGUUUUCGGGGACGAUAAUGACGGUACCCGAAGAGGAAGCCACGGCUAACUACGUGCC